AUUUUCCUUAAUGAUGUAAAGGUACUCCUACGUUUCCUCCAAUGGAAAUUCAUUGAUCCUUGCUUUAUUUUGACUAUGCCAUGACAUUUACAAGUUCAGAAUUUGGUUUCAUAAAUUGUCAGAUAGAACAAGUAAAAUAAAUGUGGAACUAGUUCAAGAACUAUGUUUAUUAUGAAGUUCAAAGUUCUAACAGUUUUUCAAGGUUAAUAUCAUUUUUGCGGAUGCUAAAAUUUUAUUACAUAAUCUUGUUGAAAAGAAAACAGAUCCAUGAUAAUUUUUCCUUAAAAGUUUGCACUUUGGAAUACAUUCUGACAAUGCAAAUAUGUGUGUAACCCUCUAGGUUCUUUGUGAAGUUCCCGAGUCAUAUGAAGCUUAUAGGAAGCAGCAACAUCGCUGGCAUUCUGGCCCUAUGCAACUUUUUCGCUUGUGUCUUCCAGCAAUUAUA
rnacentral:misc_RNA from 1 species